rnacentral:sRNA from 1 species
AAGGUGAGACGUCCUUCGCCACGAUUCA